AUGGCGGACUGCAACGCCACACACACCCUGAUGAAGGCCCGCUGCAACAGCAGGGAGAACAAGGAGAGGCCAGUGGACACGAAGUUCUACCGCAGUGUCAUCGGUAGCCUUAGGUACUUGGUACACACCCGACCAGACAUCGAGUUCCCAGUCGGGUUCCUAAGCAGGUUCAUGGAGGCGCUAGCCAGCGACCAUCUCGUGGCGGUCAAGCAUCUGCUCAGUUACAUCGCUGGCACACUCACGCACAAAUGCAUAUAUCUCCGCGGCAACGGUGAGACCUUGAUUGGCUACAGCGACUCGAACCCCACCAGCGAUGUGGACUCCAGAAAAGCACCUCAGGCAUGCUAUUCUUCCUCGGCAACAGUAUGGUGA
rnacentral:rRNA from 1 species